rnacentral:rRNA from 1 species
CCUACGGGAGGCAGCAGUGGGGAAUCUUGCGCAAUGGGCGAAAGCCUGACGCAGCAACGCCGCGUGCGGGAAGAAGGCUUUCGGGCUGUAAACCGCUUUCAGCAGGAACGAAAAUGACGGUACCUGCAGAAGAAGGAGCGGCCAACUAUGUGCCAGCAGCCGCGGUGAUACAUAGGCUUCAAGCGUUGUCCGGAUUUAUUGGGCGUAAAGAGUUCGUAGGCGGUCGAGUAAGUCGGGUGUGAAAAUUCUGGGCUCAACCCAGAGACGCCACCCGAUACUGCUUGACUUGAGUUCGAUAGGGGAGUGGGGAAUUCCUAGUGUAGCGGUGAAAUGCGCAGAUAUUAGGAGGAACACCGGUGGCGAAGGCGCCACUCUGGAUCGAUACUGACGCUGAGGAACGAAAGCAUGGGUAGCAAACAGGAUUAGAUACCCUGGUAGUCCAUGCCGUAAACGGUGGGCACUAGGUGUGGGUUUCUAUUAACGAAAUCCGCGCCGUCGCUAACGCAUUAAGUGCCCCGCCUGGGGAGUACGGUCGCAAGCUUAAAACUCAAAGUAUAGUCGACGNGNGAGACGCGACGACGACGACGACGGAGGAGGAG